UACGGAGGGUGCAAGCGUUAUCCGGAUUUACUGGGUUUAAAGGGUGCGUAGGUGGGUAGGUAAGUCAGUGGUGAAAUCUUCGAGCUUAACUCGGAAACUGCCAUUGAUACUAUUUAUCUUGAAUACUCUGGAGGUAAGCGGAAUAUGUCAUGUAGCGGUGAAAUGCUUAGAUAUGACAUAGAACACCAAUUGCGAAGGCAGCUGACUACAUAGUUAUUGACACUGAGGCACGAAAGCGUGGGGAUCAAACAGG
rnacentral:rRNA from 1 species